CGAUCUCCUCUUCCCCGAGCCGCACCUCGCGACGCCGCCCCAUCCUCACCGCCGGCCUCUACCGAGCCAUCACCUCACGACACCGCCGAGCCCCUCUGGCCUCUACCCCUACCUGACUCCCAUUCCUUCUCCUCGGCUCCCAACCCUCUCCUUCACCUCUUCUUCUCACGUGAUCGGAGGAGACGACACCCUCUUUGCCGCGGGACGCUACCACCCAACACCGAUGUCUUCCUCCCUUCUGCAACUCCAGCGUAGUUCUACCAUUGGAGCUUCGCGAGGAAGCAACCCAGGAACGUCGGCACUGAGACAUUCUCCCGAUCCAGUGAGUGGAUUCCCCUGGACAUUGAUUGAGACAGUUGACGUGACAAGGUGUGGUCCGGUUCAGAUUUCAUAUUGAAGGUAACAGGCAGAUGGUUGAGAAGUUGCUUGGAGAGUCCCGGCUGCCAGUCCCACAUCACACUCGAGGACAGUUACUUUUUGAUUUUAUUGCUAUUUGGUUACAUAGUGACUUUGCGCAUUUUGCUUUUCAAUAAGUCGAUGUGGAUUUUGGAGUCUAGUGUGGUAGUCGCAAGUAUUUUUGGUUAGUGACUUUGUUGGUUUUACAUUCGUAUUAUUUUAUGAUUUUCCGCUGCGUUUACGUUCAGCUGUGUAGGUUAUUAUCAUACUGUGUGGUUGUGUAUUUACUUUUAGACUUGUGGGCU